rnacentral:rRNA from 1 species
UACGUAGGGUGCGAGCGUUAAUCGGAAUUACUGGGCGUAAAGCGUGCGCAGGCGGUUUUGUAAGCCAGAUGCGAAAUCCCCGGGCUUAACCUGGGAAUGGCAUUUGGGACUGCAAGGCUUGAGUGCGGCAGAGGAGACUGGAAUUCCUGGUGUAGCAGUGAAAUGCGUAGAUAUCAGGAGGAACACCGGUGGCGAAGGCGGGUCUCUGGGCCGUUACUGACGCUGAGGAGCGAAAGCGUGGGGAGCGAACAGG